rnacentral:tRNA from 1 species
GUAAAUAUAGUUUAACAAAAACUUUAGAUUGUGAAUCUAAAAAUAGAAAAUACAAUUUCUUAUUUACC